rnacentral:rRNA from 1 species
CAGUCGCCGCGGUAAUACGUAGGGUGCGAGCGUUAAUCGGAAUUACUGGGCGUAAAGCGUGCGCAGGCGGUUAUAUAAGACAGAUGUGAAAUCCCCGGGCUCAACCUGGGACCUGCAUUUGUGACUGUAUAGCUAGAAUACGGUAGAGGGGGAUGGAAUUCCGCGUGUAGCAGUGAAAUGCGUAGAUAUGCGGAGGAACACCGAUGGCGAAGGCAAUCCCCUGGACCUGUACUGACGCUCAUGCACGAAAGCGUGGGGAGCAAACAGGAUUAGAUACCCGCGUAGUCCCUGUCUCUUAUAC